UCAGUUCAGAUUGCAGGCUGCAACCCGCCUGCAUGAAGUCGGAAUUGCUAGUAAUCGCGGAUCAGCAUGCCGCGGUGAAUACGUUCCCGGGCCUUGUACACACCGCCCGUCACACCAUGGGAGCCGGUAAUACCCGAAGUCAGUAGUCCAACCUCGUGAGGACGCUGCCGAAGGUAGGAUUGGCGACUGGGGUGAAGUCGUAACAAGGUAGC
rnacentral:rRNA from 1 species